rnacentral:rRNA from 1 species
AUUGAACGCUGGCGGCAUGCCUUACACAUGCAAGUCGAACGGCAGCACGGGCUUCGGUCCGGUGGCGAGUGGCGAACGGGUGAGUAAUGUAUCGGAACGUACCAUUCAGCGGGGGAUAACGUAGAGAAAGUUACGCUAAUACAGCCUAUCCUGUGAGCAGGAAAGCAUGGGGAUCGCCAGAUCUUCCGCUCAUUGAGCGACCGAUAGCAGAUUAGCUAGUUGGUGAGGUAAAGGCUCACCAAGUCGACGAUCUGUAGCGGGUCUGAGAGGAUGAUCCGCCACACUGGAACUGAGACACGGUCCAGACUCCUACGGGAGGCAGCAGUGGGGAAUUUUGGUCAAUGGGCGCAAGCCUGAUCCAGCCAUGCCGCGUGAGUGAAGAAGGCCUUCGGGUUGUAAAGCUCUUUCGGCCGGGAAGAAAUCGCAUGGGUUAAUACCCUGUGCGGAUGACGGUACCGGCAUAAGAAGCCCCGGCUAACUUCGUGCCAGCAGCCGCCGUAAUAC